rnacentral:rRNA from 1 species
CCUACGGGUGGCAGCAGUGAGGAAUAUUGGUCAAUGGCCGGAAGGCUGAACCAGCCAUGCCGCGUGAAGGUCAGUGCCCUAUGGGCGUUAAACUUCUUUUGUGCGGGAGCAAUAAUGGUCACGUGUGGCCAGACGAGAGUACCGUACGAAUAAGCAUAGGCUAACUCCGUGCCAGCAGCCGCGGUAAUACGGGGGAUGCAAGCGUUAUCCGGAUUUAUUGGGUUUAAAGGGUGCGUAGGCUGGGAGGUAAGUCAGCGGUGAAAUGCCCCCGCUCAACGGGGUGAAGUGCCAUUGAUACUGCCUUGCUGGAAUGCGGAUGCCGUAGGAGGAAUGUGUGGUGUAGCGGUGAAAUGCAUAGAUAUCACACAGAACACCGAUUGCGAAGGCAGCUCACGAAUCCGCGAUUGACGCUGAUGCACGAAAGCGUGGGUAUCAAACAGGAUUAGAUACCCGAGUAGUC